UGGGGAAUUUUGCACAAUGGGGGAAACCCUGAUGCAGCGACGCCGCGUGAUUUAGAAGGCCUUCGGGUUGUAAAAAUCUUUUCUAUUGGAAGAAAAUGACAGUACCAUAGGAAUAAGGACCGGCUAAUUACGUGCCAGCAGCCGCGGUAAUACGUAAGGUCCGAGCGUUGUCCGGAAUCAUUGGGCGUAAAGGGUACGUAGGCGGGUAAGCAAGUUAGAAGUGAAAUCCUAUAGCUCAACUAUAGGAAGCUUUUAAAACUGCUCAUCUUGAGGUAUGGAAGAGAAAGUGGAAGUCCUAGUGUAGCGGUGAAAUGCGCAGAUAUUAGGAGGAAUACCGGUGGCGAAGGCGACUUUCUGGCCAUAACCUGACGCUGAGGUACGAAAGCGUGGGUAGCAAACAGG
rnacentral:rRNA from 1 species